rnacentral:ncRNA from 1 species
GUAACAGCGAAGAAGGAAUGAAGUAGUGGAUUGUUCCCUGUUGUCAGAGAGCUGCCGGAUGCUGAAAGGCAGUACAAAACAAAUUCAUGAAUUACGUUCUGGAGUUUCUCCUGCGAAACCAGGAGACGGCUUGCCUGGCCGUUAUCGAAUCAAGUGGCAUUCUUUGGAAUGCAACAAGGGUGGUACCGCGAACAACUUCGUCCCUUUU